AGUGAACGCUGGCGGUAGGCCUAACACAUGCAAGUCGAACGGCAGCACAGUAAGAGCUUGCUCUUACGGGUGGCGAGUGGCGGACGGGUGAGGAAUACAUCGGAAUCUACUUUUUCGUGGGGGAUAACGUAGGGAAACUUACGCUAAUACCGCAUACGACCUACGGGUGAAAGCAGGGGAUCUUCGGACCUUGCGCGAUUGAAUGAGCCGAUGUCGGAUUAGCUAGUUGGCGGGGUAAAGGCCCACCAAGGCGACGAUCCGUAGCUGGUCUGAGAGGAUGAUCAGCCACACUGGAACUGAGACACGGUCCAGACUCCUACGGGAGGCAGCAGUGGGGAAUAUUAGACAAUGGGCGCAAGCCUGAUCCAGCCAUACCGCGUGGGUGAAGAAGGCCUUCGGGUUGUAAAGCCCUUUUGUUGGGAAAGAAAAGCAGUAGGUUAAUACCCCGCUGUUCUGACGGUACCCAAAGAAUAAGCACCGGCUAACUUCGUG
rnacentral:rRNA from 1 species